UUACCUGUGCCAUCGAAUUUCUCCACAUCAAACUUGGUGAACCCCGGCGCCAUGCCGAGCCGCGAUCUAACCGACAUGUUGCCGCCGGUCUGACCGCCCUUGUUUUCCUCUGCGACUUCCUCACGAAAAAGAUCACUGAUCCCGUAUUUCUCAUCUGAAGCCACGCCGCAGUCCGCGAUCUACCAAGAAAUAUGACCCGCACAACCUUCCUAUCUGCCCUUCAGAAAAUCACUUGAAGCCUCUUGCCUCCACCUUUUCCCUGAACUCGCAAACAAUUUCUGUUGUACCUGCUAGCCUGUGCGCCUCGUCGCCCCAGCUUCUUAUUAUCCGAUGGCUCAGCCGAUCUUACUUUUUCCUUCCCUGACACGAAAAAAAAUCCUAAAUUCUUCAAAGCAAAGCUUUGCUGUUUAGACGUCCUGAGCACACACCCUUCCACGUCGUCCGAUUAAAUCAGACCGGUCAGGAGGAAACACCCAUGAGGCCUUGACCCACUCCCUCUGGUCCACCACCCACUCCCCGUCCCCUCACUCUCCGUCCCCUCCUUCUUCCUCUGCCUCAAUCCCUGCCGAUGCAUCGCCGGGGACCCCAGCCACCACACCCUGCUAGCCCCUCCAUCCUACCUCUGCCGACCUGUCCCGACCCCCUCCAUUAUCAACCGCCGCCGCGCCGCCCAGACCCGAGCAGCGUCGCGCAACUACCUGUGCUCCUCCCCUAGCGCUACCCCAGCAAUCCCGUCGUGCUCGGGAUGAACGGCAGUGUCACCUUGCGCCAGAUUUGGGCCACCCCGUGCAGGAUCCGCACCGCCAGCAUCAGAUCCCGUGGGUUCUCUUCUCGUACAUGGCGGCCUCCCGCCCCCAGGCCAUGGAUCGCCUACAUGGCUAGCAGGGCCGGUUUUUUGGGGUGGUAGGAGCCCGUCGAUGGAGGGGAACCACGGCCGCCGACAUCGCCGGAACAGCUCCGCUUCUCGUACACCAAUGGAACUGGGGUUCAUUGGGAGAGGGGAUCCAAGGGGACUGGAGUGUUGUAUAGAGCAAUCUGAUUCGGCUGCAGAGCCUCUCUUCCUCCUCUAUCUCCUUCGAAGCAGGGGCGGAGGAGGGUGACGGUCGUUGUCGACGGUGUGCUUAUUCCGGCAAGCGGGAAGGGGGUUCUACAAUAGAAAUCAGUGGUGAGCGUCAUCUAAAUCGUUUUUUUCAUGCGCUUCUCUAAUGAUGCCCCGGGGGAGGUCUGUGAUAGAGUAGUGUCGAUUUCACGGGGGGAAGGGGGCAGCCGGCGAGUGAAUUUUGGUUGCAAGGGACGAGCAUUUCCAUUUUGUCGUAGGUGACAUUUUUAGAGGGAGGGAAUGGGGGUGGAUACAUGUGUGUAUCUGCAGGUGUCGAAAUAAGAAUGGCGAGUUGAUGUCUUCGAUUUGUUUGGCGAUAAGAUUCUACUCGCAAUAGGCAUUAUCUGAACCAGGUGAGUUUUUCUAGAGGGUCGGUGUUGAAAGCUACUAUGAGAGAGGCUACGAGUUGCCUGAUAUGCGUUACCAGUUUGCCUGACUUUUCCCCUUCACACAACUUGCCUGACGCUAGUCAUGUAGGUGUCUGACUUUUUAUCCGUCGAUGCUUCUGAUUUUUGUUGUCUUAGUAUCAUUUUUACUGAAUCAAUGUUUCGCCAGAUUGACUACAGCAAUUGUAUUACUUGCAAAUUUGGUACUACAUACUGAAAUGUUUUUGGAAGCAGCGGCAGCAACAAUUUUUUACUUUUAACUUUUGUACUACAUACUGAAAUGUUUUUUGGAAUAGUGAAAAACAAAAAUGAACGCAGAUUCAUUGGCCGUUCUGGCUGAAAGAUGGGGCACAUCAGCCUCCAGAACCAGCUGAGGUGCUAGAAUUUGACAUGGAGGGGAGGUGCUAAAACAGUAUGCAUGCAUGAUGCAUGUGGUCAUGUUCUUCGUCCACUAAAGUGUGGUACCAUACUAUCAAGUUGCAUAAUCAGUCCAGGGCUGAGUUGCUGGAUGGAGAAAUGAAUCUUGUCUAGUUAUCUUAUUUGUUGUCUAAUUUGUUCAAACAAAGCAAACAGACUGAAAGGCCUGAAUUGUUGACAUGUCCUGCUAUGACCAUCAAAUAGUUUGCUGGUCCUUCUCUGCUUGUUAUGUAGAUUUACUUCUCUUUUUCUGUCCA